AUUGCACGCUGGCGGCAGGCCUAACACAUGCAAGUCGAACGAGUGGCGGACGGGUGAGUAAUGUCUGGGAACCUGCGUGAUGGAGGGGGAUAACUACUGGAAACGGUAGCUAAUACCGCAUACCAUCGGAUGUGCCCAUAUGGGAUUAGCUAGUAGGCGGGGUAAAGGCUCACCUAGGCGACGCUCCGUAGCUGGUCUGAGAGGAUGACCAGCCACACUGGAACUUAGACACGGUCCAGACUCCGACGGUAGGCAGCAGUGGGGAAUAUUGCACAAUGGGCGCAAGCCUGAUGCAGCCAUGCCGCGUGUAUGAAGAAGGCCUUCGGGUUGUAAAGUACUUUCAGCGGGGAGGCGUUACCCACAGAAGAAGCACCGGCUAACUCCGUGCCAGCAGCCGCGGUAAUAC
rnacentral:rRNA from 1 species